rnacentral:lncRNA from 1 species
GGCCUGGGCAUCCAUCUAGGACCUGAUGUUCAGAUAAGGGCUGGCGUUCUCCUGGCCUGGUGUCCAUGUGGAGCCUGGGCGUACACUUGAAGCCUGAUAUCCCAGGUGGAUACCUGGGCCCCAGUGGUCAUCAGAUCCUAGGAAACUCUCAGGCCCCAGGUGCACAUAAAGCUACAGUGGCCACCUAGGCCACAGGUUGAUACACAGGGUCCAGGUGGACACUGGGUGCAAGAUGAACACCAGGCCCCAGGUGUCUGCCUAGUCCUCAAGUGGACACCAGGCACUAGAUUGACACACAGGUACCAGGUGGAUAUCAGGCCGCAGGUGAACACCAGGCCCCAGGUGGGGUGGGUUACUUAUAGCAUAGGUGGCCAUCAGUUCCCAGGUCUAUAGCCACUCCCCACCUGAAAAUCAGGAUCCAGGUGGAUACCCAUGUCCUAGGUGAACACCAGUUUCCAAAUGGACAUCAGGCUCCAAGUGAACACACAGGCCCCAGUUCAAUACCAGCCUCAGGUAGACAUCAGGACCCAGGUGGACCCCAGGCCCAAUGUGCAUGCCUAGUCUCUUGGAAUACAUCAUUUUCAAGGUGGACACCCAGAUUCCUCGUAGACAUCUGAUGCCAGGUGGAUAUCUGGCUGCAGGUGGACAUCAGGCCCCAGGUGGAGGAGACCCAGUACACAGCUGUAAAUCAGGCUCCAGUAUUUCAUCAGGCCCCAGUUAAACACUUGACUAAAGGUGCGCAUCAAGACCCAGGUUGACCCCCAGGCUUCAGGUGCACACUAGGCCCAAAGUGUACACCCGUGCCCAGGUGGGCAUCAGGCCCAAGGUGUACACCAGACCCCAAGUGGACAUCAGGUUCCAGGUUGACACCAGUCUCUAGGUAGAUCCUUAAGUCCCAAUUGGUCAUCAGGCCCAAGGUGGAUGGAUACCUUGACCCCAGGGGGUCACCAGGUCCCAGGCAGGCCUCAGGUGGACACCAAGCCCUAGGUUAACACAAAGUCUGAGAUGGUUUCAGCCCCCAUGUGGACUUUAGUCAUAAGGAGCUUACCUAGGCCCUAUGUGGACAUCAGGUCCCAGGUUGACACAAUGAACCAUGUAGAAGUCAGGCUGUAAGUAGACACCCAGGCCCUAGGUAAAUACUUUGGUCCCAAGCCAACAUCAGGCCCUAUGUGGACAUCCAGACUCCAGGAAGAUGUCAGGCCCCAGGUGAACACUGAACUCAGGGUGGUCAUCAGGCCCUAGGUUGACACAUAGGCCUCAGGUAGACAACAGGCAUAGGUGAACUUCAGGCUCUAGAUGAAUGUUGGGCUCCAGGAAGAAGUCUGUGCCCCAAUUAAACACUGGGUCUUAGGUAGACAUCAGGCCUCAAAUGGAUGCCCAGGCCCCAGGUGGAUAUAAGGCCUCAGACAAACACCAGGCCCCAGGUAGACAUUAGACACGAAAUGGACACUCAGGCCACAAGUGAACAUCUGUCCCCAGGGGGACAUCCAUCCCAAGGUGGACAUCAGGCCAGAGAUGUACACCCAGUCCCUAGGUAACUACAAGGCCCCAGGUGGACAUGAUGUUCCAGAUGGAUAUGAGGCCCCAAGUGGAUACUAGGCCCAGGUGGACCCCAGGUCUCAGGGGCACACCAGGCCCCAGGGGAACACCAGGCCCUAGGUAAGCAUGCAGUCCCAGGUGGACACCAGGUGCCAGGAGGACACCAGGACCCAGUUGGUCAUCAAGCCACUGCUGAACACCAAUUCCCCAUGAACACCAGUCCUCAGGUGGGCACCUAGUCCUCUUGUGUGCAUCAGGUGCCAGGCUGACAUAGGCACCAGCUGAACUCUGGGCCUCAGGUGAACAUCAGAUCCCAGGUUGUCACCCAGGUCCCAGGUGAACACCAGGUUUUAGGUGGACACGAGGUCCUAGGUGGAUGUCUAUGCUCCUGGUGAACCUCAGGCCCUAGUGGACACUCAGGCCCUUUAUAGACAUCUGGCUCCAUAUGCACUCCCAGGGCCCAGGUAGACAUGAGGCCCCAGAGGAACACCAGUCCUUAAUCAACUAAGACUGAAUUCCCCUAGGGCUGGAGACUGAGUAUUCACCUUGGGCCUAGGAAUCUACCUGGGGCCAGAUGUCGAUCUGGGGCCUGAUGUCUACUCAGGUUCAGCUGUCCACCUAGGGUGUGGUGGACCUCUAUUCUGUCCCCACCCUGCAACAUUGGGCCAGCUCAGUCUCUGCCACCAGCUUCCCACAUCGUCGUCCCUCAGAGCCCUAGGGUGGGUUCCCCCUACCUAGUGUCUCUGGC